rnacentral:siRNA from 1 species
UGAACAAAGAUGUGAAUGAUGCAG